UGGGGAUGAACAAAGGGUUGACUUAUUGGU
rnacentral:piRNA from 1 species